UACGUAGGGUGCUAGCGUUGUCCGGAUUUAUUGGGCGUAAAGAGCGUGUAGGCGGUUUGGUAGGUCCGUUGUGAAAACUCGAGGCUCAACCUCGAGACGCCGAUGGAAACCAUCAGACUAGAGUCCGGAAGAGGAGAGUGGAAUUCCUGGUGUAGCGGUGAAAUGCGCAGAUAUCAGGAAGAACACCCGUGGCUAAGGCGGCUCUCUAGUACGGUACUGACGCUGAGACGCGAAAGCGUGGGGAGCGAACAGG
rnacentral:rRNA from 1 species